rnacentral:rRNA from 1 species
UACGUAGGGUGCGAGCGUUGUCCGGAAUUAUUGGGCGUAAAGAGCUCGUAGGCGGUGUGUCGCGUCGGUCGUGAAAACUUGGGGCUUAACCCUGAGCUUGCGGUCGAUACGGGCAUCACUGGAGUUCGGCAGGGAAGCGGAAUUCCUGGUGUAGAGGUGAAAUUCGUAGAUAUCAGGAGGAACACCGGCGGCGAAGGCGGCUUCCUGGCCCAUUACUGACGUUCAGGUACGAAAGCGUGGGUAGCAAACAGG